GAAACUUCUACAUGUUCUUUAAUUUCCCAAGACUGAAAAAGACAAGUGUCACAAAGAGCAUUUCAAGGUAGUUUCGAAAUCUAUAGGAAAGCAGUCAUCUAAUUUUCUGUGUUUCUUCCACAGAAAGGAAGUGCAGUUAUAGCAUGGACAGAAGUAAUCACGCUAGCUUUAUUAUAGCUGGCACAUCUAAAUUAUAAUACAGGCUUAAUGGCAAUAUGCACUUGGAAUUAAUACAUUACAUGGAGAAGUCCGUAUUAUCAUGUCCUCGGUAUUAAAAUUGUUAACACUAGCUAAAGGUGGCAUGGUUAUGUCUACGUAAAACUACACCGAGUCUUCAUGAGCUGCAGGAAUUUACAGUAAAGGAACUGGGGCACCAAAUCAAAUGGGGCCUUUCAACAGCAUCUGGCUAAAUACAGCUAGUCUCAUACAACUCCUGCCUAUUCUGUAUUCCUUGAGAUGCAGCGGAUAACACCACUAAUACCUUCUUUUCUCUAACUUUAUGAUUUCCAUUACAUUUUAUAAUUUACCAUUGCCAAAAAUAAUGUUUCAGCAAUGGUGAAGAGCUUUAUUUGGAGUUUAACUAGUCUACAUCUGUUGUAUGUAAAAGCAUCAGAGUUGGUAAGCCUAAAUACUCAUUGUCAGUGUUAUUUCUGUGCCUGAAGGCAGAAGUGUUCCUAUCUGUAUGCUCAGUAGUAUUUACAAGCAUAAACAUUAACUCAGCAGCUUCACAAACCUGACCACAUAAGCAAGCCUUAAGAAAAAAUAUUCAAUGCAAAUAUUGACUAGAUAUGGAUGGUUCAUAUAAACGGGGGAAAAAAAAUAUGUCUGUUUUCAUAUUGUUAUUUUGGAGCUUCCUCAAAUCAGCAAUGACCCAACCCAAGGAUGUGCCCAUACUCAGCUGGUUUAAGUUUACUGACACACCAGUGUUUCUACUAACUGCAGUUGUGACCCUUUCCUUGGCAUGUGCCAGUGAACCAGAAAAGUCAACAGAAAGUUGCAGACAAAACUACCAGUUAAGCUGGCUUUUCCUGAACCACACUUAGAAAUCUAAGAAUGCCAAGCUAUGUCAGGGGAAGUUUUUCAAGACUGCUGAGCAUAAUCUUACCUUCAAAACAUUAGAGCUGAAGGCUUAACUCAAAGUCUAUGCGAGUUUUACUAAUGGCUUCAAUACAAAAAGAGAAUGUGAACUUCAAGCUGAAACAGACUAAAUGUCACGUUACUUCAUCCAGCUCUGUGAUGGAGAGUCUAAGAUUCUAUGAGCUAAAGGCAUCACCUCAUGAGACACCGGUAGAUGACUUCCCAUCUUUAUGAAUUUCACAAUAGAUACAGUUUAAGUUGGAUGGGACCUUCACUGAAAUCAGGUCAGCACUAAAGGACAGUUAAGAGUUUAAUUAAAAAGAAUGUGUAACUUAGACGAUUCUGUGUCCCUGUCCACCCCCAAGAUCUAUAUACAUUUGGCUUAGUGUUUUACUAUAUCAAACAAUCAUAUUUCGCCCUUAGCCCCAGCAAGACUCAGCCCCA
rnacentral:lncRNA from 1 species